rnacentral:lncRNA from 1 species
ACAAAAAAUGGAAAGAGUAAGAGUUGGGAUGUGGAGAGCUAAGUUCAUGGUCUAGUUGUUGAAAGGAACCUUGUUUUACCAACAACAACAUACACGAGAAAACGGCAGACAAUUGGGGCGAUGAGGACCACAAUAUUGUCUACAUUCUUCAACAAUCGUGCAUGCGGGAGGAGGGCAUACGUCACGAUCUUCAGUCCUAUGGCAUGAAUUUGGAAUGCAAGAUGGAGUUGAGCUUCUUUCUCCAGUUGCUAACUGUACAUUACGAUCAUAAAGAAGAUACAUAACAUAAAUAAACAAAUAUUUAUGAUCACUUCUAUGUAGCACUUGGUUUAAAGAGAAGAAAAAUGAAACUAACAAAAUAACCACAUUGAAUUUCAAACUACAUCUAAACGAAGAGAAAAUUAAAUAUCCUUCUAUUUUUGUUCUUAAAAAUCCUUCUAUCAAAUUAAAUGAUAACAUGUGUUAUAUAGUAUAUUAAAAUAUCAUUAAAUGACAUUUAAAUGUUACAUAUGUUAAGAAUAUAUAGAAACAAAAAGUAGGAAGAUAUUUGAUUUCUUCUAAAAUGAAUCCCAAAUCAUUAAAAUUCUUGGGUAAACUAUUACAUUAUAGCAAUUUUCAUGUUGGGUUAAUUAAUUGUUUAUUAUUAUGACUCAUAGUGACUAAAAUAAAUUGCAAAUUUAGUCCUUUUAGUAUAUUGUUUUUUUAGAUUCCGUCCAAGUUUCGUUUUGUAUUUAUAUACAAAUCUUGUUUGUUCUUUCAUCGUUUUGAGGUUGUUUUCUUUUAAAGAAAGAUAAAGAAAAGAUAAUUGAUGGAUAAUUUUAACGAACAUCUAACGAGUACCCAAAAUUAGAGAAUAGUUGUAUCGCAAAGCCCACAAUUAUAACAUUUUCGUUGUAAUAUUAACAGAGAUUAUAAUUUUUAUUCACGGUUUUAUGAUAUAAAAUUCCAUAAAUAGUAAUAAAUGGUCAUCAGAAAUCCGUUAUAAUUAUCACGAAUUUAGCUUGAGUUUUUCUAACUUUAUAUAAUAUAUCAUCUUUGGGCGUCUAAAAUACCAAAUGGUCAUAUAACCAAACAUAUGAGAAAUAAAUCAUAAUGUCUUAAAAGUGAGGAAUGAAGGUAAUACUCAAAUUUAAAACAUAGAUCUCAUUAAUAUGUUGAUUGAAAUAUUGAUCCUAACCACUUGAAAAAACACACAAUAUUUACAUUGUUAAUUUUCUAUGCAAUGCCGGAAAAUUGACUCUAUAUAUCAUUCAACAAUUUCGCUUACUGUUUAUAAGGUCAUGUCAACAACCAAUAAUUUUUAAAACCGACAGAAAUGAUCCCUGUUUUGAGAGACAAUAUAAAAAAAUGAUCCAUUAUAAAAGUUUACAUAAACAUUAGAUAUCUAAUCUAAUACAAAAAUAAAGAAAUAGUCCGUCUAUAGGAUUUCUUUUAAAGUUAACGGAAAUCGUUCUAAUUUUGAGAAAAUAUUUAGAAAUUGUCCAUAUCUAAAAAAUUAUUGAAAUGAUUUUCAUCUAACGAAGUUAGAAUAACAAUUUCUAUGUAAGAUAAAGUUACAAAAAAAGUGUCUAUAAUACCGAUUUUUUUUUUAAAUAUUUCAAUUUAUACCCUUUUGUAUAUUAGUUUAUUUGUCAAAAAUACAAAAUAAAAUCCCCACUAGUUAAAAAACAAAGAGCAAGAUAUUAGUUAAUAAAAACACACAAACUGCUUUUAUGCUUUGAACGGCAGAAAAAAAAAAAAAAAAGAACAGCAAACUACUAUAGUUAAAUGGUAAUCCAUUGAUAUGACUCAUCUAAUAUACACAUGAAUCAUAUUAAGAGAAGUUAAAGGAGGUGGCACACCUUCGAUUUCAAAGAGAUGGCACGUCCGGUCAUUAAUAAUAUAGCGAAGAUUAGAAAUUUGAAUGUAACCGCUUUCUCCAUAUCUUUGUGCAAAACAAAA